GGGACGAACGCUGGCGGCGUGCCUAAUACAUGCAAGUAGAACGCUGAAGAGAGGAGCUUGCUCUUCUUGGAUGAGUUGCGAACGGGUGAGUAACGCGUAGGUAACCUGCCUUGUAGCGGGGGAUAACUAUUGGAAACGAUAGCUAAUACCGCAUAACAAUGGAUGACACAUGUCAUUUAUUUGAAAGGGGCAAUUGCUCCACUACAAGAUGGACCUGCGUUGUAUUAGCUAGUAGGUGAGGUAAUGGCUCACCUAGGCGACGAUACAUAGCCGACCUGAGAGGGUGAUCGGCCACACUGGGACUGAGACACGGCCCAGACUCCUACGGGAGGCAGCAGUAGGGAAUCUUCGGCAAUGGGGGCAACCCUGACCGAGCAACGCCGCGUGAGUGAAGAAGGUUUUCGGAUCGUAAAGCUCUGUUGUAAGUCAAGAACGGGUGUGAGAGUGGAAAGUUCACACUGUGACGGUAGCUUACCAGAAAGGGACGGCUAACUACGUGCCAGCAGCCGCGGUAAUACGUAGGUCCCGAGCGUUGUCCGGAUUUAUUGGGCGUAAAGCGAGCGCAGGCGGUUUGAUAAGUCUGAAGUUAAAGGCUGUGGCUCAACCAUAGUUCGCUUUGGAAACUGUCAAACUUGAGUGCAGAAGGGGAGAGUGGAAUUCCAUGUGUAGCGGUGAAAUGCGUAGAUAUAUGGAGGAACACCGGUGGCGAAAGCGGCUCUCUGGUCUGUAACUGACGCUGAGGCUCGAAAGCGUGGGGAGCGAACAGGAUUAGAUACCCUGGUAGUCCACGCCGUAAACGAUGAGUGCUAGGUGUUGGAUCCUUUCCGGGAUUCAGUGCCGCAGCUAACGCAUUAAGCACUCCGCCUGGGGAGUACGACCGCAAGGUUGAAACUCAAAGGAAUUGACGGGGGCCCGCACAAGCGGUGGAGCAUGUGGUUUAAUUCGAAGCAACGCGAAGAACCUUACCAGGUCUUGACAUCCCGAUGCUAUUUCUAGAGAUAGAAAGUUACUUCGGUACAUCGGUGACAGGUGGUGCAUGGUUGUCGUCAGCUCGUGUCGUGAGAUGUUGGGUUAAGUCCCGCAACGAGCGCAACCCCUAUUGUUAGUUGCCAUCAUUCAGUUGGGCACUCUAGCGAGACUGCCGGUAAUAAACCGGAGGAAGGUGGGGAUGACGUCAAAUCAUCAUGCCCCUUAUGACCUGGGCUACACACGUGCUACAAUGGUUGGUACAACGAGUUGCGAGUCGGUGACGGCGAGCUAAUCUCUUAAAGCCAAUCUCAGUUCGGAUUGUAGGCUGCAACUCGCCUACAUGAAGUCGGAAUCGCUAGUAAUCGCGGAUCAGCACGCCGCGGUGAAUACGUUCCCGGGCCUUGUACACACCGCCCGUCACACCACGAGAGUUUGUAACACCCGAAGUCGGUGAGGUAACCUUUUGGAGCCAGCCGCCUAAGGUGGGACAGAUGAUUGGGGUGAAGUC
rnacentral:rRNA from 1 species